rnacentral:rRNA from 1 species
UAAUCAGGGGGAUAGCCUCUCGAAAGAGAGAUUAACACCGCAUAAAAUCACAAGCUGGCAUCAGCAAAUGAUCAAAUAUUUAUAGGAUUAAGAUGGGCAUGCGUGUCAUUAGCUAGUUGGUGAGGUAACGGCUCACCAAGGCGACGAUGACUAGGGGAUCUGAGAGGAUGACCCCCCACACUGGUACUGAGACACGGACCAGACUCCUACGGGAGGCAGCAGUAAGGAAUAUUGGUCAAUGGGCGCAAGCCUGAACCAGCCAUGCCGCGUGCAGGAAGACGGCCCUACGGGUUGUAAACUGCUUUUGUCAGGGAAUAAACCCCCGUUCGUGAACGGGGUUGAAUGUACUUGAAGAAUAAGGAUCGGCUAACUCCGUGCCAGCAGCCGCGGUAAUACGGAGGAUCCAAGCGUUAUCCGGAUUUAUUGGGUUUAAAGGGUGCGUAGGCGGCUUUUUAAGUCAGGGGUGAAAGACGGUGGCUCAACCAUCGCAGUGCCUUUGAUACUGAAGAGCUUGAAUACACUUGAGGUAGGCGGAAUGUGACAAGUAGCGGUGAAAUGCAUAGAUAUGUCACAGAACACCAAUUGCGAAGGCAGCUUACUAAAGUGUGAUUGACGCUGAGGCACGAAAGCGUGGGGAUCAAACAGGAUUAGAUACCCUGGUAGUCCACGCCCUAAACGAUGAACACUCGAUGUUAGCGAUAUACAGUUAGCGUCUAAGCGAAAGCGUUAAGUGUUCCACCUGGGGAGUACGCCCGCAAGGGUGAAACUCAAAGGAAUUGACGGGGGCCCGCACAAGCGGAGGAGCAUGUGGUUUAAUUCGAUGAUACGCGAGGAACCUUACCCGGGCUUGAAAGUUACUGAAUCCCCGAGAGAUCGGGGAGUCCUUCGGGACAGGAAACUAGGUGCUGCAUGGCUGUCGUCAGCUCGUGCCGUGAGGUGUUGGGUUAAGUCCCGCAACGAGCGCAACCCCUAUGUUUAGUUGCCAGCAUGUAAAGGUGGGGACUCUAAACAGACUGCCUGUGCAAACAGAGAGGAAGGAGGGGACGACGUCAAGUCAUCAUGGCCCUUACGUCCGGGGCUACACACGUGCUACAAUGGAUGGUACAGAGGGCCGCUACCUGGUAACAGGAUGCCAAUCUCAAAAAGCCAUUCACAGUUCGGAUUGAGGUCUGCAACUCGACCUCAUGAAGUUGGAUUCGCUAGUAAUCGCGUAUCAGCAAUGACGCGGUGAAUACGUUCC